rnacentral:rRNA from 1 species
ACUUGUCUCAGCCGCGGUAAUUCCAGCUCCAAUAGCGUAUGUUAAAGUUGUUGCAGUUAAAAAGCUCGUAGUUGAAUUUCGAGACCGGUCUACUGGUCGUGCUUUUGUACGUACUGGUAUAAUCGGUUUCUCUCUUCUGACGAACUAUAAUGCCAUUAAUUUGGUGUUUUAGGGAAUCAGGACUGGUACUUUGAAAAAAUUAGAGUGUUUAAAGCAGGCUCACGCUUGAAUACAUUAGCAUGGAAUAACGAAAUAGGACGUUUGAUUCUAUUUUGUUGGUUUCUAGGAUCGACGUAAUGAUUAAUAGGGAUAGUUGGGGGCAUUAGUAUUCAAUUGUCAGAGGUGAAAUUCUUGGAUUUAUUGAAGACUAACUACUGCGAAAGCAUUUGCCAAGGAUGUUUUCAUUAAUCAAGAACGAAAGUUAGGGGAUCGAAGACGAUCAGAUACCGUCGUAGUCUUAACCAUAAACUAUGCUGACUAGGGAUCGGAUGAUGUUAAAUUAAUGACUCAUUCGGCACCUUACG